rnacentral:rRNA from 1 species
AGUGAACGCUGGCGGUAGGCCUAACACAUGCAAGUCGAACGGCAGCACAGUAAGAGCUUGCUCUUACGGGUGGCGAGUGGCGGACGGGUGAGGAAUACAUCGGAAUCUACUUUUUCGUGGGGGAUAACGUAGGGAAACUUACGCUAAUACCGCAUACGACCUACGGGUGAAAGCAGGGGAUCUUCGGACCUUGCGCGAUUGAAUGAGCCGAUGUCGGAUUAGCUAGUUGGCGGGGUAAAGGCCCACCAAGGCGACGAUCCGUAGCUGGUCUGGGACGAUGAUCAGCCACACUGGAACUGAGACACGGUCCAGACUCCUACGGGAGGCAGCAGUGGGGAAUAUUGGACAAUGGGCGCAAGCCUGAUCCAGCCAUACCGCGUGGGUGAAGAAGGCCUUCGGGUUGUAAAGCCCUUUUGUUGGGAAAGAAAAGCAGCAGGUUAAUACCCCGCUGUUCUGACGGUACCCAAAGAAUAAGCACCGGCUAACUUCGUG